rfam:Loxodonta africana unplaced genomic scaffold scaffold_21, whole genome shotgun sequence.
GCAAUGGUGGUUCAGUGGUAGGAUACUUGUCUUCCAUGCAGGAGACCCGGAUUUGAUUCCUGGCCAAUGCA